rnacentral:rRNA from 1 species
GUGGGGAAUCUUCCGCAAUGGACGAAAGUCUGACGGAGCAACGCCGCGUGAGUGAUGAAGGUCUUCGGAUUGUAAAGCUCUGUUAAUCGGGACGAAAGAGCCUAGUGUGAAUAAUGCUAGGAAGUGACGGUACCGGAAUAGAAAGCCACGGCUAACUACGUGCCAGCAGCCGCGGUAAUACGUAGGUGGCAAGCGUUGUCCGGAAUUAUUGGGCGUAAAGCGCGCGCAGGCGGAUCUGCCAGUCUGUCUUAAAAGUUCGGGGCUUAAACCCGUGAUGGGAUGGAAACUACAGAGCUAGAGUAUCGGAGAGGAAAGUGGAAUUCCUAGUGUAGCGGUGAAAUGUGUAGAGAUCGGGAGGAACACCAGUGGCGAAGGCGACUUACUGGACUGUAACUGACGCUGAGGCGCGAAAGUGUGGGGAGCAAACAGGAUUAGAAACCCCUGUAGUCC